GAUGAACGCUGGCGGCGUGCCUAAUACAUGCAAGUAGAACGCUGAAGGAGGAGCUUGCUCUUCUGGAUGAGUUGCGAACGGGUGAGUAACGCGUAGGUAACCUGCCUGGUAGCGGGGGAUAACUAUUGGAAACGAUAGCUAAUACCGCAUGACAACAGUUAUUGCAUGAUAACUGUUUAAAAGGGGCAACUGCUCCACUACCAGAUGGACCUGCGUUGUAUUAGCUAGUUGGUGAGGUAACGGCUCACCAAGGCGACGAUACAUAGCCGACCUGAGAGGGUGAUCGGCCACACUGGGACUGAGACACGGCCCAGACUCCUACGGGAGGCAGCAGUAGGGAAUCUUCGGCAAUGGACGGAAGUCUGACCGAGCAACGCCGCGUGAGUGAAGAAGGUCUUCGGAUCGUAAAGCUCUGUUGUAAGAGAAGAACGAGUGUGAGAGUGGAAAGUUCACACUGUGACGGUAUCUUACCAGAAAGGGACGGCUAACUACGUG
rnacentral:rRNA from 1 species